rnacentral:rRNA from 1 species
GAAACACCCAACGACGCCUCCGACCUUGACCUCUUCAAUGCGGCUACUCGUGUCACCAUCAGAAACGGUGCCAAGGCCUCCUUCUGGUCGUCUUCAUGGCUCAAUGGUGCCCCGCCAAAAGACCUGGCUCCCCUAAUUUUCAAGGCUUCCAAGAGGAAGAAUCGGACGGUCCAGGACUCUCUCGCUGAUAACAACUGGAUCUCGGACAUUGCGAUGGAUGCGUUCACUGUCGAUCACAUGGAACAAUACGUCCGCCUCUGGGAGCUCUUGUCGGAUAUCCAGCUUCAUCCUGACACUGAGGACUCCAUUACCUAGUCCUUGACCCCUAAUGGGUGCUACUCGGCCAGCUCCGCCUACAAGGUCCAGUUCCCUGCCUCUUUGCCCUGCCAGUUCGGGAACAUCGUGUGGAAGACCUGGGCCCCUCGAAAGUGCCGUUUCUUCGCCUGGCUCGCUGUCUAG